rnacentral:rRNA from 1 species
AGAGCGAACGCUGGCGGCAGGCUUAACACAUGCAAGUCGAGCGCCCCGCAAGGGGAGCGGCAGACGGGUGAGUAACGCGUGGGAACGUACCUUUUGGUUCGGAACAACACAGGGAAACUUGUGCUAAUACCGGAUAAGCCCUUACGGGGAAAGAUUUAUCGCCGAAAGAUCGGCCCGCGUCUGAUUAGCUAGUUGGUGAGGUAACGGCUCACCAAGGCGACGAUCAGUAGCUGGUCUGAGAGGAUGAUCAGCCACAUUGGGACUGAGACACGGCCCAAACUCCUACGGGAGGCAGCAGUGGGGAAUAUUGGACAAUGGGCGCAAGCCUGAUCCAGCCAUGCCGCGUGAGUGAUGAAGGCCCUAGGGUUGUAAAGCUCUUUUAACGGGGAAGAUAAUGACGUACCCGUAGAAUAAGCCCCGGCUAACUUCGUGCCAGCAGCCGC